AUUGAACGCUGGCGGCAGGCCUAACACAUGCAAGUCGAGCGGAUGAAGGGAGCUUGCUCCUGGAUUCAGCGGCGGACGGGUGAGUAAUGCCUAGGAAUCUGCCUGGUAGUGGGGGAUAACGUCCGGAAACGGGCGCUAAUACCGCAUACGUCCUGAGGGAGAAAGUGGGGGAGCUUCGGACCUCACGCUAUCAGAUGAGCCUAGGUCGGAUUAGCUAGUUGGUGGGGUAAAGGCCUACCAAGGCGACGAUCCGUAACUGGUCUCAGAGGAUGAUCAGGCACCCUGGAACUGAGACACGGUCCAGACUCCUACGGGAGGCAGCAGUGGGGAAUAUUGGACGAUGGGCGAAAGCCUGAUCCAGCCAUGCCGCGUGUGUGAAGAAGGUCUUCGGAUUGUAGAGCACUUUAAGUUGGGGGGAAGGGCAGUAAGUUAAUCCCUUGCUGUUUUGACGUUACCAACAGAAUAAGCACCGGCUAACUUCGUG
rnacentral:rRNA from 1 species